GACGAACGCUGGCGGCGUGCCUAAUACAUGCAAGUUGAGCGCUGAAGGUUGGUACUUGUACCAACUGGAUGAGCAGCGAACGGGUGAGUAACGCGUGGGGAAUCUGCCUUUGAGCGGGGGACAACAUUUGGAAACGAAUGCUAAUACCGCAUAAAAACUUUAAACACAAGUUUUAAGUUUGAAAGAUGCAAUUGCAUCACUCAAAGAUGAUCCCGCGUUGUAUUAGCUAGUUGGUGAGGUAAAGGCUCACCAAGGCGAUGAUACAUAGCCGACCUGAGAGGGUGAUCGGCCACAUUGGGACUGAGACACGGCCCAAACUCCUACGGGAGGCAGCAGUAGGGAAUCUUCGGCAAUGGACGAAAGUCUGACCGAGCAACGCCGCGUGAGUGAAGAAGGUUGUCGGAUCGUAAAACUCUGUUGGUAGAGAAGAACGUUGGUGAGAGUGGAAAGCUCAUCAAGUGACGGUAACUACACAGAAAGGGACGGCUAACUACGUG
rnacentral:rRNA from 1 species